rnacentral:rRNA from 1 species
UGAGGAAUAUUGGUCAAUGGGCGAGAGCCUGAACCAGCCAAGUCGCGUGAAGGAAGACGGCCCUAUGGGUUGUAAACUUCUUUUGUAAGGGGAUAAAGAACGCUACGUGUAGUGUCUUGUAGGUACCUUACGAAUAAGGAUCGGCUAACUCCGUGCCAGCAGCCGCGGUAAUACGGAGGAUCCGAGCGUUAUCCGGAUUUAUUGGGUUUAAAGGGUGCGUAGGCGGACUCAUAAGUCAGUGGUGAAAGUUUGCAGCUUAACUGUAAAAUUGCCAUUGAAACUGUGGGUCUUGAGUACAGAAGAGGUAAGCGGAAUGUGUAGUGUAGCGGUGAAAUGCAUAGAUAUUACACAGAACACCGAUAGCGAAGGCAGCUUACUGGUAUGUAACUGACGCUGAGGCACGAAAGCGUGGGGAUCGAACA